UUGAAUUAUAUUUUUCUUGUCAUAUAAUAGAUUUGUCGGGAAACCGACUAUGACACCAGAGGCUGUAUGAAAUAGGUUUUCAAGACCCGGGGGCAGUACCCGGCACCUCCACCAUUUUUGCCGAUGUGUAUGAAAAGUGUAUUAUGUUGGUGAUGCUUCUCUGAUGAUGCUUUGGACACGAAAUGCGGAUAAAGCACCUGCUGCGCAGAUAAUGAACGAACGACGCGUACAUUUGAAAAUGUGGAGAAGUUGUUUGCUACGCAGGCGAUGAUGCUUUGGACACAAAAUGCGGAUAAAGCACCUGCUGCGUAGAUGAUGAACGAACGACGCGUACAUUAUUGGUACGCGAGAGAGUUUAUCAGCAAGCAUGAGAUGCUUUAUACACAUUUUGAGGGGGUGAAACAGGCUUGAUUGGGAACAAUAAAGAUACUUUGCUGUGUUCGGUGAGAUACCACCGUUAUCGGUUCAAAAUAAAUGAAUGCAAAUGAUAAUUUUGCACCUGUUGCAGUAGCUGCUUAGUGUAGUUCGCAACGAAUGAAAUUCUUAAGGCUUUGGUUGCCUUGAGUGGGGAAGGAGCCGCCCAGCAACAGAACGGC
rnacentral:tmRNA from 1 species